rnacentral:rRNA from 1 species
UACAGAGGGUGCGAGCGUUGUUCGGAAUUAUUGGGCGUAAAGCGCUUGUAGGCGGCACGUCAAGUCGCGUGUGAAAUCCCCAGGCUUAACCUGGGAAGUGCGCGCGAAACUGACGAGCCUUGAGUGCCGGAGAGGGUCGCGGAAUUCCCGGUGUAGAGGUGAAAUUCGUAGAUAUCGGGAGGAACACCAGUGGCGAAGGCGGCGACCUGGACGGACACUGACGCUGAGACGCGAAAGCGUGGGGAGCAAACGGG